GAUGAACGCUGGCGGCGUGCCUAACACAUGCAAGUCGAACGGAAAGGCCCUGCUUUUGCGGGGUUCUCGAGUGGGGCACGGGUGUGUAACACAUGAGUAUCCUGCCCUUGACUUUGUGAUAUCUUCAGGCAACUGGGGCUAAUACCGGAUAGGAGCUCCUGCUGCAUGGUGGUGGUUGGAAAGUUUCGGCUGUUGUGGCUGGACUUGCGGCUUACCAGCUUGUUGGUGGAGUAGUUGCUUACCAAGGCUUUGACGGCUAGCCGGCCUGAGAGGGUGACCGGCCUCCAUGGGACUGAGAGACGGACCAGACUGCAACGGGAGGCAGCAGUGGGGAAUAUUGCACAAUGGGCGGAAGCCUGUUGCAGAGGCGCCGCGUUCGGGAUGACCGCCUUCUGGUUGUAAACCGCUUUCGCCUGUGACGAAGCGGGAGUGACGGUAAUGGGUAAAGAAGCACCGGCUAACUACGUG
rnacentral:rRNA from 1 species